rnacentral:rRNA from 1 species
AACGAACGCUGGCGGCAUGCCUAACACAUGCAAGUCGAACGAGACCUUCGGGUCUAGUGGCGCACGGGUGCGUAACGCGUGGGAACCUGCCCUUAGGUUCGGAAUAACUCCCCGAAAGGGGUGCUAAUACCGGAUAAUGUCUUCGGACCAAAGAUUUAUCGCCUUUGGAUGGGCCCGCGUUGGAUUAGCUAGUUGGUAGGGUAAAAGCCUACCAAGGCGACGAUCCAUAGCUGGUCUGAGAGGAUGAUCAGCCACACUGGGACUGAGACACGGCCCAGACUCCUACCGGAGGCAGCAGGGGGGAAUAAUGGACAAUGGGCGAAAGGCUGAUCCAGCCAUGCCGCGUUAGUGAUGAAGGCCUUAGGGUUGGAAAGCUCUUUUACCCGGGAUGAUAAUGACAGUACCGGGAGAAUAAGCGCCGGCUAACUCCGUG